GACGAACGCUGGCGGCGUGCUUAACACAUGCAAGUCGAACGGUGAAGCGCCUUCCUUUUUGGUGGGUGUGGAUGAGUGGCGAACGGGUGAGUAACACGUGAGUAACCUGCCCCCUUCUUCUGGAUAACCGCAUGAAAGUGUGGCUAAUACGGGAUAUUCUGGGUCUGUCGCAUGAUGGGUCUGGGAAAGAUAUUGUUUCGGUGGGGGAUGGGCUCGCGGCCUAUCAGCUUGUUGGUGGGGUGAUGGCCUACCAAGGCGGGGACGGGUAGCCGGCCUGGGGGGUGGGCGGGCACAGUGGGGAAGAGGCAACGGCCCAGAAGCGUAGGGGGGGAAGCGGUGGGGAAUAUGACACAAGGGGGGCAAGCCUGAUGGAGCGACGCCGGGUGAGGGGGGGGGGCCUUCGGGUUGUUACCCUUUUUCGCCAGGAAAGCAGGCCGGCCUUGUUUGGGGGGGGGUUGACGGUAGGUGGAAAAGAAGCGCCGGCUAACUACG
rnacentral:rRNA from 1 species